rnacentral:rRNA from 1 species
GACGUAGGGCGCGAGCGUUGUCCGGAUUUAUUGGGCGUAAAGAGCUCGUAGGCGGCUUGUUGCGUCGACCGUGAAAACCCGGGGCUCAACUUCGGGCUUGCGGUCGAUACGGGCGGGCUAGAGUUCGGUAGGGGAGACUGGAAUUCCUGGUGUAGCGGUGAAAUGCGCAGAUAUCAGGAGGAACACCGGUGGCGAAGGCGGGUCUCUAGGCCGAUACUGACGCUGAGGAGCGAAAGCGUGGGGAGCGAACAGG